rnacentral:rRNA from 1 species
AUACGGAGGAUGCAGGCGUUAUCCGGAUUUAUUGGGUUUAAAGGGUGCGUAGGCGGUUUGCUAAGCGGGAGGUGAAAUGCCGGCGCUCAACGUCGGAAGUGCCUCCCGAACUGGUGGACUUGAAUGACUCUGCCGUGGGAGGAAUGUGUAGUGUAGCGGUGAAAUGCUUAGAGAUUACACAGAACACCGAUUGCGAAGGCAUCUCACGAAGGGUUGAUUGACGCUGAGGCACGAAAGCGUGGGGAUCAAACAGGAUUAGAUACCCUGGUAGUCCACGCAGUAAACGAUGAUGGCUAACCGCUGGGCUUAUCAGUUCAGUGGCCAAGCGAAAGCGAUAAGCCAUCCACCUGGGGAGUACGACCGCAAGGUUGAAACUCAAAGGAAUUGACGGGG